GCGAAGGUGGUGGAAUUGGCAGACACGCUAGACUUAGGAUCUAGUGCCGUAAGGCGUGUGGGUUCGACUCCCACCCUUCGCACCA
rnacentral:tRNA from 1 species